rnacentral:rRNA from 1 species
CCUACGGGCGGCUGCAGUGGGGAAUAUUGGGCAAUGGGCGCAAGCCUGACCCAGCAACGCCGCGUGAAGGAAGAAGGCUUUCGGGUUGUAAACUUCUUUUCUCAGGGACGAAGCAAGUGACGGUAACUGAGGACUAAGCCACGGCUAACAACGUGCCAGCCGCCGCGGUAAUACUUAGGGGGCAAGCGUUAUCCGGAUUUACUGGGUGUAAAGGGCGUGUAGGGGGGAAAGCAAGUCAGAUGUGAAAACCAUGGGCUCAACCUGUGGCCUGCAUUUGAAACUGUUUUUCUUGAGUACUGGAGAGGCAGACGGAAUUCCUAGUGUAGCGGUGAAAUGCGUAGAUAUUAGGAGGAACACCAGUGGCGAAGGCGGUCUGCUGGACAGCAACUGACGCUGAGGCGCGAAAGCGUGGGGAGCAAACAGGAUUAGAUACCCGUGUAGUC